GGGACGAAUUGGAGGGAGGAGGGCGUACAAUUAAUCAAAUUUUGUUGGUUUUCUUAAACAAAAUCUCACAAGUAGACAAUGAAUCGGGCUCGCAAUCCAAUCCAGGCCAGCCCAAGCCGCCUAUAGAAACAAUUUUGCAUCAUCAAGGGGAAAAGCCUAGCCGUCAAGUUAUAACUUCAAAUCCCGGCAAGUCGACAGAAACUGGCCCAGCUCCUUCAGCGUCAGGAGUGAAACCUCUGAACGGUGGUGAGGCACGCCAUAAGCUUUACAUCCGAUCAUUGGUCAAUAAACUGAAGGGCGUACGUGCUGGUCGAGCUUCAUCUGAUAUUAAGGAUCAAACAAAGCCUUCGCUGUUGACCACAACUUUAUUUCUACAUCAACGGAGUGGCCUAAAUUGGUUGCUGUGGCGCGAGACACAAACUCCGUCAGACGAUGAAUCGGGCUCGCAAUCCAAUCCAUGCCAGCCCAAGCCACCUAGCUAAGAAACCUAGCCGUCAAAUUAUAACUUCAAAUCCCGGCAAGUCGACAGAAACUGGCCCAGGUACUUCAGCGUCAGGAGUGAAACCUCUAAACGGUGGUGAUGCACGCCUUGAGCUUAACAUCCGAUCAUUGGUCAAUAAACUGAAGGGCGUACGUGGUCGUGCUUCAUCUGAAAUUAAGGAUCAAACAAAGCCGUCGCUUUUGACCACUACUUUGUUUCCCCAUUAACGGUGGUCUCUUGGCUGAUGACAUGGGUCUGGGAAAGUCACUUUGCAUUAUAGCUUUGAUUGCAAAGCAUAAAGAGACCCUGACAGCUCUAUCUAAUACACCUUCCGUUCAGCUUCCUAAAUGAAUGAAACAAUCAUCCGGAACGCUAAUAGACAGCGGAAACUGGAACUUGAAAAGCAUUGCAAGGCGCCGACCGUUGCUACUUUCCACGGGAAAGGACGAAAACAGCUUGAAGCGACACUACACGAGUGUGACGUGAUACUGACCACCUGUGGGAUCGUGGCUGCCGAAAUAAAACAUUAUGGCCGUGAGGAUAUUGCUAGUGCUUCGACCAACUCAAAACCUGUUAGUGAUUUUACACGACCGGAACUCAUUCAUCAGUCAAUAUUGACACAGAUUGAAUUCGAUCGUGUUGUGCUCGAUGAAGCACACACAAUUCGAAAUCAUCAAACGAAGCUUUGUAGCGCUAUUUGUCUUCUACGAGCAAAAAGGAGAUGGGCCGUAACUGGUACCCCUUUGCAAAAUAACAAGGCAGAUCUAUUUGCUCACUUCCGGUUUUUACGUGCUUUGCCAUUUGACGGUUUUUUGUAUUUUUAACCAGUGGAUUGACGAUGACGGGGAGCGCCUCAAACUUCUCGAUGAAACGGUUGUUUUACGACGAAUGAAGGACGACAAAAUUCAGGACACAAAUUUGCCUCUGAUCCCUAUGCCAAAAAGGCACAUUCAUAAUGUGUCAAUCGAACUAUCAAAAGAAGAAUGUAUAUCAAAAUCUACGACAACUCGUCGGCUAUUUAUAUCAAAUAUAUUUAUAUCGAUAUUAUAAAUUGCGUACAAGGCAAAUCGACAAAGAAAGGAAGAAAAAAAGGAGCAAAAAAAAAACUAGCUUUUUGCGUGUUUUGCUCUCCUAGUUUUUCAGGUCAUCACUCUUUAGUUUUUAUUUAUUCUGUGUUACGGUAAGAAUGGAAUGGAGAAAAGUGAUGCAUCGUCCAAGAAGUCAACUGUUAAAAAUUUUAUUUUCAUAAUAUUUCCCAGACUAUUUCCCAGACAGGCGGAGUUCGGUCAGGCAAUAAUUAAUCGUCUUGCGAUUCUGCAUUUGAUAUCUAUUCUUUAUUUCUCAACUCCCUUUCCAGAUUCCUGAAAAUGAACUACACGGAUAAGGAUCCCCCCCCCAUAGGCUGGGAUAACCGCGGAUCGUUUAUUUUUAAAAAACCUUGAAAAAAAAAAGGCAAUCUGUAAAAAAAAAGCUACAGGUAAUUAG
rnacentral:lncRNA from 1 species